rnacentral:rRNA from 1 species
UACAGAGGGGGCAAGCGUUGUUCGGAAUUACUGGGCGUAAAGGGCGCGUAGGCGGCCUGCUAAGUCGAACGUGAAAUCCCUGGGCUCAACCCAGGAACUGCGUCCGAUACUGGUUGGCUUGAAUCCGGGAGAGGGAUGUGGAAUUCCAGGUGUAGCGGUGAAAUGCGUAGAUAUCUGGAGGAACACCGGUGGCGAAGGCGACAUCCUGGACCGGUAUUGACGCUGAUGAGCGAAAGCUAGGGGAGCAAACGGG